AUACGGAGGAUCCGAGCGUUAUCCGGAUUUAUUGGGUUUAACGGGAGCGUAGGUGGAUUGUUAAGUCAGUUGUGACAGUUUGCGGCUCAACCGUAAAAUUGCAGUUGAAACUGGCAGUCUUGAGUACAGUAGAGGUGGGCGGAAUUCGUGGUGUAGCGGUGAAAUGCUUAGAUAUCACGAAGAACUCCGAUUGCGAAGGCAGCUCACUAGACUGUUACUGACACUGAUGCUCGAAAGUGUGGGUAUCAAACAGGAUUAGAUACCCUGGUAGUCCACACAGUAAACGAUGAAUACUCGCUGUUUGCGAUAUACAGUAAGCGGCCAAGCGAAAGCAUUAAGUAUUCCACCUGGGGAGUACGCCGGCAACGGUGAAACUCAAAGGAAUUGGCGGGG
rnacentral:rRNA from 1 species